rnacentral:rRNA from 1 species
UACGUAGGGGGCAAGCGUUGUUCGGAAUUACUGGGCGUAAAGGGCGCGUAGGCGGCACAGCAAGUCGGGAGUGAAAGCCCGGGGCUCAACCGAGGAAGUGCAUCCGAAACUGGCGGGCUAGAGUACGAAAGAGGGUCGCGGAAUUCCCGGUGUAGAGGUGAAAUUCGUAGAUAUCGGGAGGAACACCGGUGGCGAAGGCGGCGAUCUGGGUCGAUACUGACGCUGAGGUGCGAAAGCGUGGGUAGCAAACAGG